GAGACAGCAGUAGCCGCGGUAAUACGUAUGUCACGAGCGUUAUCCGGAUUUAUUGGGCGUAAAGCGCGUCUAGGUGGUUAUGUAAGUUUGAUGUGAAAAUGCAGGGCUCAACUCUGUAUUGCGUUGGGAACUGUAUAACUAGAGUACUGGAGAGGUAAGCGGAACUACAAGUGUAGAGGUGAAAUUCGUAGAUAUUUGUAGGAAUGCCGAUGGGGAAGCCAGCUUACUGGACAGAUACUGACGCUAAAGCGCGAAAGCGUGGGUAGCAAACAGGAUUAGAUACCCCAGUAGUCCCUGUCUCUUAUACA
rnacentral:rRNA from 1 species